AACAUUCAUUGUUGUCGGUGGGUUGUGAGGACUGAGGCCAGACCCACCGGGGGAUGAAUGUCA
rnacentral:pre_miRNA from 1 species